GUCGCUGAGUAAGCUUUCUGGGUCGGCCUGUGCUUUUCUUUGUAUUAUAGAGAUCACCAGAUCUCAGAAAGUUGCAAAUUAUAUUUUUAGACCGUCCAAUUCGUCUGCAUGUUUCUCUAGCUGAGAGUCCAUGUACUGUGUAGGCAAAUAUUCGUCCUUUUUCAUACAUUGUUAAGGAUGAACCACGGAGCAUAUUGUUUGUGAAUGACAGGCACUCUGAAAAUCGUUUACCAUACAGAGGAGUUUCAUUUCUUCACACACUACAGAUAGGAAGCUCAUUUAAAUGUAUCAGUAGCAUGUGCAAAGUUUGGACGUGGUCCAUUCAUGGACUUUCAGGAGGUGUCCCUAUGUUUAUGGGACAGCAGAAUGCACACUUUUGCAUUUUUAAAGGUAACAGUGGUCAACAUCUGGUAAUUACUAUACAUGUUGUAACACACAUAAAUGUGUGUGUCAAUAAAUGUUACUGUAAUUAUUGUAUAACAGUGUUGUGCUUUGUUCUUCCAU
rnacentral:lncRNA from 1 species